rnacentral:misc_RNA from 1 species
AAAAAAAGAGAGAAUACACAUCAGCGGUAUUCCGUUGUCGGCGACCAGCUUCACUUCUUCUCCAACCUCAAUCCAACCCAAUCCAUUUCCCAUCAUUGUAGACAUCAGAGAAAAGAAAACCCAUAUUUAUUUUCAGUUUAUUGGCCAAAUCAAUCAGAACAAAGCAAAGAGUACGCGAACUCCAAAAAUGGGUUCCAAGUUACUUUCUCUAAGAAGGCUCUCAACGCUUCUAAAACCUCACUUUCAAUCUCCUCCUACUUCUUAUUAUUCUUCAAAAUUUCACCACUCUAGUUCUGUGCUUCUACUAGCUUCCAGAGUUCUCCGUCAACAUUCCAACACUCUCAGUCCUCCUGGCUCUUCUGGUUGUUGUUCUAGAAGCUUCUGCUCUCGCCAGUUGGAUCUGGAUGUGGACUCUCAAGGCCCUGCUACUAUCGAUUAUCGUUCUCUUCUGCAGGAAGAUGAAUUUCACAGACUAGCUGAUUCCACAAUCCAUGACCUUCAGGAGAAAUUGGAGGAAUAUGGCGAUAGUUUUCAAAUUGAUGGGCUUGACAUUGAUUAUGGGAAUGAGGUUUUGACUCUCAAGCUCGGGGAUUUAGGCACCUAUGUGUUGAACAAGCAAACACCCAAUAGACAACUUUGGUUGUCUUCUCCAGUGAGUGGUCCAUCCAGGUUUGAUUGGGAUCAGAAUUCUCAAGCUUGGGUUUAUAGGCGGACAAAAGCAAAUUUAUUGACAAUUUUGGAAAGUGAAUUGGAGCAACUAUGUGGUGAACCCAUCAAACUUGCUUAGUUGUGGCAAUUUCUCUAAUGUACUGCAGAUAUAUAUAUAUUUUUUUUCCAGC